rnacentral:rRNA from 1 species
UACAGAGGGUGCGAGCGUUGUCCGGAAUCACUGGGCGUAAAGGGCGCGUAGGCGGCCCGGUAAGCGUGCGGUGAAAGCUCGGGGCUCAACUCCGAGUCGGCCGUGCGAACUGGGCUCACUGGAGCAUAGUAGAGGCAGGUGGAAUUCCGGGUGUAGCGGUGGAAUGCGUAGAGAUCCGGAAGAACACCGGUGGCGAAGGCGGCCUGCUGGGCUAUGGCUGACACUGAGGCGCGACAGCGUGGGGAGCAAACAGG